UGAGGAAUCUUGCGCAAUGGGCGAAAGCCUGACGCAGCGAUGCCGCGUGAGGGAUGAAGGCCUUCGGGUUGUAAACCUCUUUCGACAGGGAAGAAGCCGGGAGUCAUCCCGGUGACGGUACCUGUAUAAGAAGCCCCGGCUAACUACGUGCCAGCAGCCGCGGUAAAACGUAGGGGGCGAGCGUUGCCCGGAUUCACUGGGCGUAAAGCGGGUGUAGGCGGUCCGAUAAGUCGGGUGUGAAAUCUCCAAGCUCAACUUGGAAACUGCACCCGAUACUGCCGGACUUGAGGACGGUAGAGGUCGGUGGAAUGCGCAGUGUACCGGUGAAAUGGACAGAUAUUGCGCGGAACACCAGUGGCGAAGGCGGCCGACUGGGCCGAUCCUGACGCUGAGACCCGAAAGCCAGGGUAGCGAACCG
rnacentral:rRNA from 1 species